rnacentral:rRNA from 1 species
UACGUAGGGUGCAAGCGUUUAAUCGGAAUUACUGGGCGUAAAGCGUGCGCAGGCGGAUCUAUAAGUUAGAUGUGAAAUCCUUAAGCUUAACUUGAGAAUUGCAUUUAAGACUGUAGGUCUAGAGUUUGUCAGAGGGGGGGUAGAAUUCCAAGUGUAGCAGUGAAAUGCGUAGAGAUUUGGAGGAAUACCAGUGGCGUAGGCGGCCCCCCUGGGAUAAAAACUGACGCUCAUGCACGAAAGCGUGGGGAGCAAACAGG